rnacentral:misc_RNA from 1 species
GAUGAAGAACGUAGCAAAAUGCGAUAAGUAAUGUGUAUUGCAGAAUUCAGUGAAUCAUCGAAUCUUUGAACGCACAUUGCGCCCGCCAGUAUUCUGGCGGGCAUGCCUGUUCGAGCGUCAUUUCAACCCUCAAGCUCAGCUUGGUGUUGGGACUCGCGGUAACCCGCGUUCCCCAAAUCGAUUGGCGGUCACGUCGAGCUUCCAUAGCGUAGUAAUCAUACACCUCGUUACUGGUAAUCGUCGCGGCCACGCCGUAAAACCCCAACUUCUGAAUGUUGACCUCGGAUCAGGUAGGAAUACCCGCUGAACUUAAGCAUAUCAAUAAGCGGAGGA